UAGGGAAUCUUCGGCAAUGGGGGGAACCCUGACCGAGCAACGCCGCGCGAGUGAAGAAGGUUUUCGGAUCGUAAAGCUCUGUUGUUAAGGAAGAACGAGUGUGAGAAUGGAAAGUUCAUGCUGUGACGGUACUUAACCAGAAAGGGACGGCUAACUACGUGCCAGCAGCCGCGGUAAUACGUAGGUCCCGAGCGUUGUCCGGAUUUAUUGGGCGUAAAGCGAGCGCAGGCGGUUAGAAAAGUCUGAAGUGAAAGGCAGUGGCUCAACCAUUGUAGGCUUUGGAAACUGUUUAACUUGAGUGCAGAAGGGGAGAGUGGAAUUCCAUGUGUAGCGGUGAAAUGCGUAGAUAUAUGGAGGAACACCGGUAGCGAAAGCGGCUCUCUGGUCUGUAACUGACGCUGAGGCUCGAAAGCGUGGGGAGCGAACAGG
rnacentral:rRNA from 1 species